rnacentral:lncRNA from 7 species
CUCAAAUUUUACUGUAAUUAAAAUACAGAGAUGCAGAAUAUUCCCAGAAACACACUGCAAAACAAACCAAGCAAACAGAUUCAGUAGGAAACCAAUUAUAGACAAUGAAAUGAUAAAGAACAAAAGCGUCCUCUGGAGCCUGGUGCCAUGCAUGGGACCACGCGGCCGCAGCGACGGUGCCGGGGUAGGAAAGGGCUCCUUGGCUCCUGGAGGAGCAGAGAUUGGCCCAAUGUCUGUCCUGGCAGCUCUGCGGCUCUCUCCAUCCAUCUCCACAUUUAUGCUCGUGCUGUUAUUUUCACCAGGAUGACUUUGCAAUGGAGACACGGGAAUGACCCACCCACAGGAACAAGAGCCAACAAGAGAACCCAGAGGGAAAGAAGUGGGUUAAGAUUUUCCAGACAUGAACACAAGCAGACAGAAAGGGGUGGAAGACAUGCACUCCUCUUCCAGCCAGGGCAGCCACGGGAGCAGUCACCCUCUCUGCCCUCCCAGCCAAUGUGAGUGUGGAUGUGUAACGGAGGUCUCUGGGGGAGCUUUGGAGAGCUCUGCACCAAGGGCAAGAUAAAAAGCGAAGGGAGGGAAAAAAAAGGAGGUGAACACUAACAGGAUGAGCAAGGGAAAAGGGAGGACAGGAGGUGCCCAUGGGCUCUCCUCCAAGCCAGGGUAAGCCCCUGGGGCAGGGAAACGCCCAGCUGCAGUGGGGCACUGAGCUGUGUAUAGAAUUGCAGCGCAGCCCUGCGGUGGGGGGAUCCUGGUGAAUGCCUGGAGGAGAUCUGGAAGUGAAGAAGGGCUGACCUGGUGUCUGGACCCUCUCUUGGGCACGCUGAUCCAGCCAAAUGGAAACAACCUCAUUAUCAUCACUGCUGCGGAAGCAGGGCCCCGGCCAGGAGCAGAAAAACACCACACCCCAAAACUCAUAUUCUUCCACACUCUUCCCUAGGGCAAACUCUCUUACGUUCAUCCUCUGAUUCAGAGCCUGUCCUAAGAAUCAAAUUCCCUCUGUGCUACUCCCUUUCUUGCUCCCUCAGUCUUCCACUCCUAACACCAGGACUCACAUCUUCCUUGAAUGAGCUCCCUUCACCCCCCCGUCCACCUUCACACUGUCCCCCUUGUACCAAAUCCCCCAGCUGGUAUCAAUGGGAUCUAAGCAAAACGUAGUUCUUAGCCUCUUCCUCAGCGAGGCUGUGUGAGAAGAGAGGAUAAAAGCAGUGUCCAGCAGCUUUC